GACGAACGCUGGCGGCGUGCUUAACACAUGCAAGUCGAACGGAAAGGCCCUGCUUUUGUGGGGUGCUCGAGUGGCGAACGGGUGAGUAACACGUGAGUAACCUGCCCUUGACUUUGGGAUAACUUCAGGAAACUGGGGCUAAUACCGGAUAGGAGCUCCUGCUGCAUGGUGGGGGUUGGAAAGUUUCGGCGGUUGGGGAUGGACUCGCGGCUUAUCAGCUUGUUGGUGGGGUAGUGGCUUACCAAGGCUUUGACGGGUAGCCGGCCUGGGAGGGUGACCGGCCACAGUGGGACUGAGAUACGGCCCAGACUCCUACGGGAGGCAGCAGUGGGGAAUAUGGCACAAGGGGCGGAAGCCUGAUGCAGCAGCGCCGCGUGCGGGAUGACGGCCUUCGGGUUGUAAACCGCUUUCGCCUGUGACGAAGCGUGAGUGACGGUAAUGGGUAAAGAAGCACCGGCUAACUACGUG
rnacentral:rRNA from 1 species